rnacentral:lncRNA from 1 species
GCAAAGAGUUGGACACGACUGAGUGACUGAACUGAACUGAUAAUUAUGAAACCCUGUAUAGUGGCGAGGUCUUGUCAUUUUAAAGAUAGCAUUAAGAGUAAUGAUAGUUAACAUGAUCUUCUUUGCUAUAUGGCAACAAAGUGUCAUAACAACCUCAUGGAAGAGGCAGCAGGGGGAUGCUGCUGCAGAUGGUGCAUGCGAGAGGAAGAAGUUACUUCAUUCAGAGUCAUCCACUCAACUGACUAUCACAGGAUGUGAAGAACAUAGCAUCUCUGCCCUUCAGAAUCCUUCAGAAAGGGAACGCCAACUCACUGAUAUACAUUGAGUAAGUCCCAGAUGUAGGUUUUUUUACUGAAAUGGAUAAAGUGUGUUUGGAGUAGAAUUUCUACCUGCCAAGGGAAGAUCAUAGAGGGUCAUUGACAAAAGUGAUCUUUGGUUUGGGCCUUGAAGGGUAAGUAAUAUUGUAGGAAGAAGGGGUGACGUUAGGAAAAUACAUUCCAUGCAGAAGGAGCCAAUCAUACAAAUAUCUUCUUAUGCAUUCCUGCCAUUCCCCUCUUAUGCCAUUGUACUAUGGCCCAGUUUACCCAUGUGUCUAGCCCUGCAUGAUAUUUAUUGACAAUUUUAUAUGAAUAAGGUAAAUGUAUGCCAUCCUUUACUUCUGUAGCUAUCCUUCCAUUUGGUUGGUUGGUUGGUUGCUUCCUUCUUAGCCUG